rnacentral:rRNA from 1 species
UGUUCGUAGUGACUGCGGAGGAUCAUUA